GACGAACGCUGGCGGCGUGCUUAACACAUGCAAGUCGAACGGAGCGAAUGAAAGCUUGCUUUUAUGAGCUUAGUGGCAAACGGGUGAGUAACACGUAGACAACCUGCCGACAGGAUGGGGACAACAUUCCGAAAGGAAUGCUAAUACCGAAUGAAGCGGAGGAGAGGCAUCUCUCCUCCGUGAAAGAUGGCCUCUAUUUAUAAGCUAUCACCUGUCGAUGGGUCUGCGUCUGAUUAGCUAGUUGGUGAGGUAACGGCUCACCAAGGCGACGAUCAGUAGCCGGUCUGAGAGGAUGAACGGCCACAUUGGGACUGAGACACGGCCCAGACUCCUACGGGAGGCAGCAGUGGGGAAUCUUCCGCAAUGGGCGCAAGCCUGACGGAGCAACGCCGCGUGAGUGAAGAAGGUCUUCGGAUCGUAAAGCUCUGUUGAUGGGGACGAAUGUACGGAGUGCGAAUAGUGCUCUGUAAUGACGGUACCUAUCGAGGAAGCCACG
rnacentral:rRNA from 1 species